GGAGCGGGAGGUCUGCGCGGUGUGUCCAGUCUUCUCGGCGCGGACCGCAUUCCCGUGGACCUUCGGCCGAAGGGGCGACGCGCGACACGAAAACAUCCGUGGAGCUCAAGUUUGAGGUGAAACCAGCCUCAGGGUCCACCUGUCCUCGCUGAUCCAUGGAUUUCUGUGUGACUAGAUUACACCUAUGGAGCCGUGGCCCCAGCUACCACCGCUUUGGGGCACAACCUGAAGACCCUCACAGUCCCCUUCCCCAUCUCCACCCUCCGGUAUUCAUAAGACAGGAGCAACUGCUCAGCCACGUUCAACUCCACUGAGAGGGUCCUGCAGAGCCUGGGGAGACCCUGGUUCCAGCAGCUCCUGUUGGGUUAAAUCCCACCCAGCCCCUC